CAAAUACUCCCUCCGUCCCAAAAUUCUUGUCAUAGAUUUGUCUAAAUACGGAUGUAUCUAGUCAUGUUUUAGUGUUAGACACAUUCAUAUCUAAACAAAUCUAAGACNAGAAUUUUGGGACGGAGGGAGUAUU
rnacentral:pre_miRNA from 1 species